GACGAACGCUGGCGGCGUGCUUAACACAUGCAAGUCGAACGAAGAGCGAUGGACGCUUGCUUCUAUCAAUCUUAGUGGCGAACGGGUGAGUAACGCGUAAUCAACCUGCCCUUCAGAGGGGGACAACAGUUGGAAACGACUGCUAAUACCGCAUACGAUCUAAUCUCGGCAUCGAGGAUAGAUGAAAGGUGGCCUCUACAUGUAAGCUAUCACUGAAGGAGGGGAUUGCGUCUGAUUAGCUAGUUGGAGGGGUAACGGCCCACCAAGGCGAUGAUCAGUAGCCGGUCUGAGAGGAUGAACGGCCACAUUGGGACUGAGACACGGCCCAGACUCCUACGGGAGGCAGCAGUGGGGAAUCUUCCGCAAUGGACGAAAGUCUGACGAAGCAACGCCGCGUGAGUGAUGACGGCCUUCGGGUUGUAAAGCUCUGUUAAUCGGGACGAAAGGCCUUCUUGCGAAUAGUGAGAAGGAUUGACGGUACCAGAAUAGAAAGCCACGGCUAACUACGUG
rnacentral:rRNA from 1 species